rnacentral:rRNA from 1 species
AGGGUUUGAUCAUGGCUCAGAACGUACGCUGGCGGCACGCCUAACACAUGCAAGUCGAACGAAGUAGCAAUACUUAGUGGCAGACGGGUGAGUAACAUGUAGGUAUCUGCCCUUUGGCCUGGAAUAACACGAGGAAACUUGUGCUAAUACCGGAUAAGUCUUUACGGAGAAAGCUUUAUGCACCAUUGGAUGAGCCUGCACUUGAUUAGUUUGUUGGUGGGGUAAUGGCCUACCAAGACUGUGAUCAAUAGCUGAUUUGAGAGGAUGAUCAGCCACAUUGGGACUGAGACACGGCCCAAACUCCUACGGGAGGCAGCAGUGGGGAAUCUUGCACAAUGGAGGAAACUCUGAUGCAGCGAUGCCGCGUGAGUGAAGAAGGCCCUUGGGUUGUAAAGCUCUUUCGUCGGGGAAGAAAAUGACUGUACCCGAAUAAGAAGGUCCGGCUAACUUCGUGCCAGCAGCCGCGGUAAUACGAAGGGACCUAGCGUAGUUCGGAAUUACUGGGCUUAAAGAGUUCGUAGGUGGUUGAAAAAGUUAGUGGUGAAAUCCCAGAGCUUAACUCUGGAACUGCCAUUAAAACUUUUCAGCUAGAGUAUGAUAGAGGAAAGCAGAAUUUCUAGUGUAGAGGUGAAAUUCGUAGAUAUUAGAAAGAAUACCAAUUGCGAAGGCAGCUUUCUGGAUCAUUACUGACACUGAGGAACGAAAGCAUGGGUAGCGAAGAGGAUUAGAUACCCUCGUAGUCCAUGCCGUAAACGAUGUGUGUUAGACGUUGGAAAUUUAUUUUCAGUGUCGCAGCGAAAGCGAUAAACACACCGCCUGGGGAGUACGACCGCAAGGUUAAAACUCAAAUGAAUUGACGGGGACCCGCACAAGUAGUGGAGCAUGUGGUUUAAUUCGAAGAUACGCGCAGAACCUUACCAACACUUGACAUGUUCGUCGCGACUCUAAGAGAUUAGAGUUUUCGGUUCGGCCGGACGAAACACAGGUGCUGCAUGGCUGUCGUCAGCUCGUGUCGUGAGAUGUUGGGUUAAGUCCCGCAACGAGCGCAACCCUCACUUUUAGUUGCCAUCAUUAAGUUGGGCACUCUGAAAGAACUGCCAGUGAUAAGCUGGAGGAAGGUGGGGAUGACGUCAAGUCCUCAUGGCCCUUACGUGUUGGGCUACACACGUGCUACAAUGGUAUCUACAACAGGAAGCAAGACUGCGAAGUUAAGCAAAUCCCUAAAAGAUACCUCAGUUCGGAUUGCACUCUGCAACUCGAGUGCAUGAAGCUGGAAUUACUAGUAAUCGUGGAUCAGCGUGCCACGGUGAAUGCGUUCCCGGGUCUUGUACACACCGCCCGUCACACCAUGGGAGUUGGUUCUACCUUAAGGCAAGGUUUCAAACCCUUGACCACGGUAUAGUCAGCGACUGGGGUGAAGUCAUAACAAGGUAGCCGUA